GAGAAAGUCAGGUGGAGGACAAAGCACCUCGGCUGCUUUCGGAGCAGCACAGACCUGGCUAAUGUGCAGCACUAGCAUCCAGGCUGCUAACUGCCUGAGAGAAGGCUCUAUGGCACUGUAUUUCAGUAGCUCAUGAAAAACCCUGCCUUUUGUGAAGGCAAAAAGCACACAAAGCAAAUCCAGUGAAUUUUAUACAGGUCUACCACAAGCACAUGGAAAAAUCGGAUUGCAAGAGUUCUCUUAUUUUCAUUGGUAGUCUCUAGUUCAACACACUGCAAAACUGGACUUCAGGUCGUGAUGACACCUCAUCAUUGAUGUCUCUCACUGUCUGAUGAAGGAUCCUUGCCUCUUUCAGUGCUGAGGGUAAACAGCCUCACAAAAACCCGCCCAGCACCUUCUGAUGACCUUCUCCGAGCUCAAGGAAAGUAUAGAAAAGCAGCGGGAGGCCUGUAUGGGUGAAGGAUCUCCUGAC
rnacentral:lncRNA from 1 species